rnacentral:sRNA from 1 species
UUUUCCGGAGCACAAACCCACACAUGCAUCGACACGAUGGCCUGGGUGCCCGCAAGGGUUGGUCAUUGGGAUGCGUGGAGGCCUAACCCGACUUAUCGAGGAACUAUCAUG